rnacentral:tRNA from 1 species
GAGACCAUAGUCAACUAUGACAUUUGAUUUGCACUCAUAAAGUGCUCCUAGGAGCUGAUCUUA